AGGGUUUGAUCAUGGCUCAGAACGUACGCUGGCGGCACGCCUAAUACAUGCAAGUCGAACGAAGUAGCAAUACUUAGUGGCAGACGGGUGAGUAACAUGUAGGUAUCUUCCCUUUGGUGAGGAAUAACACGAGGAAACUUGUGCUAAUACCUCAUAAGUCUUUACGGAGAAAGCUUUAUGCGCCAAUGGAUGAGCCUGCACUUGAUUAGUUUGUUGGUGGGGUAAUGGCCUACCAAGACAAUGAUCAAUAGCUGAUUUGAGAGGAUGAUCAGCCACAUUGGGACUGAGACACGGCCCAAACUCCUACGGGAGGCAGCAGUAGGGAAUCUUGCACAAUGGGGGAAACCCUGAUGCAGCGAUGCCGCGUGAGUGAAGAAGGCCUUUGGGUUGUAAAGCUCUUUCGUCGGGGAAGAAAAUGACUGUACCCGAAUAAGAAGGUCCGGCUAACUUCGUGCCAGCAGCCGCGGUAAUACGAAGGGACCUAGCGUAGUUCGGAAUUACUGGGCUUAAAGAGUUCGUAGGUUGUUAAAAAAGUUGGUGGUGAAAUCCCAGAGCUUAACUCUGGAACUGCCAUCAAAACUUUUUAGCUAGAGUAUGAUAGAGGAAAGCAGAAUUUCUAGUGUAGAGGUGAAAUUCGUAGAUAUUAGAAAGAAUACCAAUUGCGAAGGCAGCUUUCUGGAUCAUUACUGACACUGAGGAACGAAAGCAUGGGUAGCGAAGAGGAUUAGAUACCCUCGUAGUCCAUGCCGUAAACGAUGUGUGUUAGACGUUGGAAAUUUAUUUUCAGUGUCGCAGCGAAAGCAAUAAACACACCGCCUGGGGAGUACGACCGCAAGGUUAAAACUCAAAUGAAUUGACGGGGACCCGCACAAGUAGUGGAGCAUGUGGUUUAAUUCGAAGAUACGCGCAGAACCUUACCAACACUUGACAUGUUCGUCGCGACUUUAAGAGAUUAAAGUUUUCGGUUCGGCCGGACGAAACACAGGUGCUGCAUGGCUGUCGUCAGCUCGUGUCGUGAGAUGUUGGGUUAAGUCCCGCAACGAGCGCAACCCUCACUUUUAGUUGCCAUCAUUAAGUUGGGCACUCUGAAAGAACUGCCAGUGAUAAGCUGGAGGAAGGUGGGGAUGACGUCAAGUCCUCAUGGCCCUUACGUGUUGGGCUACACACGUGCUACAAUGGCAUUUACAAUAGGAAGCAAAACGGCGACGUUAAGCAAAUCCUAAAAAAAUGCCUCAGUUCGGAUUGUACUCUGCAACUCGAGUACAUGAAGCUGGAAUUACUAGUAAUCGCGGAUCAGCGCGCCGCGGUGAAUACGUUCCCGGGUCUUGUACACACCGCCCGUCACACCAUGGGAGUUGGUUCUACCUUAAGGCAAAGGUUAAAAACUUUGACCACGGUAUAGUCAGCGACUGGGGUGAAGUCGUAACAAGGUAACCGUA
rnacentral:rRNA from 1 species